rnacentral:rRNA from 1 species
GACAACUAUUGGAAACGAUAGCUAAUACCGGAUAACAGCAUUAACUGCAUGGUUGAUGUUUAAAAGUUGGUUUUGCUAACACUAUGAGAUGGCUUUGCGGUGCAUUAGCUAGUUGGUGGGGUAAAGGCCUACCAAGGCGACGAUGCAUAGCCGACCUGAGAGGGUGAUCGGCCACACUGGGACUGAGACACGGCCCAGACUCCUACGGGAGGCAGCAGUAGGGAAUCUUCCGCAAUGGGCGAAAGCCUGACGGAGCAACGCCGCGUGAGUGAAGAAGGAUUUCGGUUCGUAAAGCUCUGUUGUUAGGGAAGAAUGAUUGUGUAGUAACUGUACACAGUAGAGACGGUACCUAACCAGAAAGCCACGGCUAACUACGUGCCAGCAGCCGCGGUAAUACGUAGGUGGCAAGCGUUGUCCGGAAUUAUUGGGCGUAAAGCGCGCGCAGGUGGUUUAAUAAGUCUGAUGUGAAAGCCCACGGCUCAACCGUGGAGGGUCAUUGGAAACUGUUAAACUUGAGUGCAGGAGAGAAAAGUGGAAUUCCUAGUGUAGCGGUGAA